rnacentral:rRNA from 1 species
UACGUAGGAGGCGAGCGUUGUCCGGAUUUAUUGGGCGUAAAGAGCGUGUAGGCGGCCAGGUAGGUCUGCUGUGAAAACUCGAGGCUCAACCUCGAGACGUCGACGGAAACCGUCUGGCUAGAGUCCGGAAGAGGAGUGUGGAAUUCCUGGUGUAGCGGUGAAAUGCGCAGAUAUCAGGAAGAACACCUAUGGCGAAGGCAGCACUCUGGGACGGUACUGACGCUGAGACGCGAAAGCGUGGGGAGCGAACAGG